rnacentral:rRNA from 1 species
AUCUACAGCCACGCCACCCUGAACAAGCCCGAUCCCGUCUGAUCUCGGAAGCUAAGCAGGCUCGGGCCUGGUUAAUACUUGGAUGGGAGACCACCUAGGAAAACUGGGUGCUGUAGGUG